UACGGAGGGUGCAAGCGUUAUCCGGAUUCACUGGGUUUAAAGGGUGCGUAGGUGGGCAGGUAAGUCAGUGGUGAAAUCUCCGGGCUUAACCCGGAAACUGCCAUUGAUACUAUUUAUCUUGAAUACUUUGGAGGUAAGCGGAAUAUGUCAUGUAGCGGUGAAAUGCUUAGAUAUGACAUAGAACACCAAUUGCGAAGGCAGCUUACUACACAGUUAUUGACACUGAGGCACGAAAGCGUGGGGAUCAAACAGG
rnacentral:rRNA from 1 species